rnacentral:rRNA from 1 species
AUCAACUUUCGAUGGUAGGAUAGAGGCCUACCAUGGUGGUAACGGGUAACGGGGUGUUAGGGCACGACACCGGAGAGGGAGCNUGAGAAACGGCUACCACAUCCAAGGAAGGCAGUAGGCGCGCAAAUUACCCAAUCCCGACAUGGGGAGGUAGUGACAAUAAAUAACAAUACAAGGUUCUUUUGGAUCUUGUAAUUGGAAUGAGUACAAUUUAAAUCUCUUAACGAGGAACAAUUGGAGGGCAAGUCUGGUGCCAGCAGCCGCGGUAAUUCCAGCUCCAAUAGCGUAUAUUAAAGUUGUUGCAGUUAAAAAGCUCGUAGUUGAAUUUCGGGAUCAAGGAAUCGGUCAUGCCUCGGUAUGUACUGGUUUUAUUGGUUCUCACCUUCUAAAGAACCAUGAUGUCAUUCAUUUGAUGUUAUGGGGAAUUAGGACUGUUACCUUGAAAAAAUUAGAGUGUUUAAAGCAGGCUUACGCUUGAAUACAUUAGCAUGGAAUAAUGAAAUAGGACAUCAGAUUCUAUUUUGUUGGUUUCUAGGAUCGAUGUAAUGAUUAAUAGGGAUAGUUGGGGGCAUUAGUAUUCAAUUGUCAGAGGUGAAAUUCUUGGAUUUAUUGAAGACUAACUACUGCGAAAGCAUUUGCCAAGGAUGUUUUCAUUAAUCAAGAACGAAAGUUAGGGGAUCGAAGACGAUCAGAUACCGUCGUAGUCUUAACCAUAAACUAUGCCGACUAGGGAUCGGAUGAUGUUAAUUUUAUAAUGACUCAUUCGGCACCUUACGGGAAACCAAAGUGUUUGGGUUC